UACGUAGGUGGCAAGCGUUGUCCGGAUUUAUUGGGUUUAAAGGGUGCGUAGGCGGCUUUGUAAGUCAGUGGUGAAAUAUGGCAGCUCAACUGUCAGGGUGCCAUUGAUACUGCAGAGCUUGAGUACAGAUGAGGUAGGCGGAAUUGACGGGUGUAGCGGUGAAAUGCUUAGAUAUCGUCAAGAACACCGAUAGCGAAGGCAGCUUACUGGGCUGUAACUGACGCUGAGGCACGGAAAGCGUGGGGAGCGAACAGG
rnacentral:rRNA from 1 species